rnacentral:rRNA from 1 species
UGGCGGCCAUAGCGCGGUGUCCCACCUGAUCCCAUGCCGAACUCAGAAGUGAAACGCCGUAGCGCCGAUGGUAGUGU